GUGCCAGCAGCCGCGGUAAUUCGUGCUCCGCUAGCGUUAAUCGGAAUUACUGUGCGUAAAAAGCUCGUAGUUGAAUUUUGAAGUUUGUCGGGAAAGCCCCGUCACCGCGCUGGGAGUUGCGAUGAAGACUGUCCCUUUGAAUCUGGCAUACCCUUCACUGAUUCCACGGGUAGCAGUGAAAUGCGUAGAGAUGUGGAGUAACACCGAUGGGGAAGGCCGCCCCCUGGAUAAAGAUUGAUGCUCAUGCACGAAAGCGUGCGGAGCAAACAUUUAUUAGAUACCCUGGUAGUCCACGCCCUAAACGAUGUCUACUAGUUGUCGGUCUUUAUUUAACUUUGAAACGCAGCUAUCGUGUGACGUAUACCGCCUGACUAGUACGGUCGCAUGAUUCAAACUCGAAUGCAUUGACGAGGACCCGCACAUGCGGGGGAGGAGGUGAAUUAAUUCGAUGCAACGCGAAACACCAUACCUACCCUUGACAUGUACGGAAGACCGAAGAGAUUUGGUUGUGCUCGAAAGACGACCGUAACACAGUGUGCUGCAUGCCUGUCGUCAGCUCGUGUCGUGAGAUAUUGGGUUAAAUCCCGCGACGAGCGCACCACCUUGUCAUUAGUUGCUACGAUAGGGCACUCUAAUGAGACUGCAGUCGACAGGUCGAAGCAAGGUGGGGAUGACGACAAUGUCGUCAUCGUUUCUUAUGUGUAGGGCUUGCAGACGUCAUGACCAGUGCUACAGUACGGGAGCGCCGCUUAAUCCUGCUGUAGUGGAGAUAAUCACAGAAGUGUAUCGUAGUCAGAGUCGUAGACUGCUACUGCGACUACGUGAGUCGUAUCAGCUACUAUCGCUGCAUCACCAUGUCAGCGUUGAGAACAAUACCGGGCGGU
rnacentral:rRNA from 1 species